rnacentral:rRNA from 1 species
CAGCCGCCGCGGUAAUACAGAGGGUGCAAGCGUUAAUCGGAAUUACUGGGCGUAAAGCGCGCGUAGGUGGUUUGUUAAGUUGGAUGUGAAAUCCCCGGGCUCAACCUGGGAACUGCAUCCAAAACUGGCAGGCUAGAGUAGGGCAGAGGGUGGUGGAAUUUCCUGUGUAGCGGUGAAAUGCGUAGAUAUAGGAAGGAACACCAGUGGCGAAGGCGACCACCUGGGCUCAUACUGACACUGAGGUGCGAAAGCGUGGGGAGCAAACAGGAUUAGAUACCCCCUAGUCCCUGUCUCUUAUACA